UUUAUCGGAGAGUUUGAUCCUGGCUCAGGACGAACGCUGGCGGCGUGCCUAAUACAUGCAAGUCGAGCGGACAGAUGGGAGCUUGCUCCCUGAUGUUAGCGGCGGACGGGUGAGUAACACGUGGGUAACCUGCCUGUAAGACUGGGAUAACUCCGGGAAACCGGGGCUAAUACCGGAUGGUUGUCUGAACCGCAUGGUUCAGACAUAAAAGG
rnacentral:rRNA from 1 species